CCGGCGUCUAAGGUAGGCUUCCACUACAUUACCUUACUGAUGAGUCCAGUAGUGGAAGCCGGGACGAAACGCCAA
rnacentral:hammerhead_ribozyme from 15 species